rnacentral:tRNA from 1 species
GGAGACGUAUCGAAGAGGCCAUAACGAGGCGCACUCGAAAUGCGUUUGCCGCCUUAUCGCGGCACAAGGGUUCGAAUCCCUUCGUCUCCG